UAGCUCAGCAGUAGAGCACAUGUUUAAGAUGCUUGAGGCUCUGGGUUCAAUCCCCAG
rnacentral:tRNA from 1 species